GAGAGGCUAAAGGGCGCCACACAGUACCUGUGUGACAAGGUCGUCCCUGGGAACAGGGUUACCAUCAUGGGCAUCUACUCCAUCAAGAAGUUUGGCCUGACCGCCAGCAGGGGCCGUGACAGGGUGGGCGUGGGCAUCCGAAGCUCCUACAUCCGUGUCCUGGGCAUCCAGGUGGACACAGAUGGCUCUGGCCGCAGCUUUGCUGGGGCCGUGAGCCCCCAGGAGGAGGAGGAGUUCCGUCGCCUGGCUGCCCUCCCCAAUGUCUAUGAGGUCAUCUCCAAGAGCAUCGCCCCCUCCAUCUUUGGGGGCACGGACAUGAAGAAGGCCAUUGCCUGCCUGCUCUUUGGGGGCUCCCGAAAGAGGCUCCCUGAUGGACUUACUCGCCGAGGAGACAUCAACCUGCUGAUGCUAGGGGACCCUGGGACAGCCAAGUCCCAGCUUCUGAAGUUUGUGGAGAAGUGUUCUCCCAUUGGGGUAUACACGUCUGGGAAAGGCAGCAGCGCAGCUGGACUGACAGCCUCGGUGAUGAGGGACCCUUCGUCCCGGAAUUUCAU
rnacentral:sRNA from 1 species